CCUACGGGCGGCAGCAGUGAGGAAUAUUGGUCAAUGGGCGAGAGCCUGAACCAGCCAAGUCGCGUGAAGGAUGACGGCCCUACGGGUUGUAAACUUCUUUUGUCAGGGAGCAAUUGAGUCCACGUGUGGGCUUAGCGAGAGUACCUGAAGAAAAAGCAUCAGCUAACUCCGUGCCAGCAGCUGCGGUAAUACGGAGGAUGCGAGCGUUAUCCGGAUUUAUUGGGUUUAAAGGGUGCGUAGGCGGAAUAUCAAGUCAGCGGUAAACAUUCGGGGCUCAACCACGUAGUGCCGUUGAAACUGAUGGUCUUGAGUGGGCGAGAAGUAUGCGGAAUGCGUGGUGUAGCGGUGAAAUGCAUAGAUAUCACGCAGAACUCCGAUUGCGAAGGCAGCACACCGGCGCCCAACUGACGCUGAAGCACGAAAGCGUGGGUAUCGAACAGGAUUAGAUACCCGGGUAGUC
rnacentral:rRNA from 1 species